CUUGACCUUAUGUCCUAUGUUAAUAGCUCCACCUUUUGCCCUCUGAUAGGCUGGAAGUUAUUUCUUAUAGCAAUCAAAUCUUGUCAGAUCACCACAAGUGCAUCAGGUGUAAGGUCUAGGGGUCCGUUUGGGAUUGGGCCGGCGAGUGACUGGAGCAUGUUGUCCUUAGUGGUGGUCUGUGAAAUCUAGUGGUGGUCUGUGAAAUCUAGUGGUGGUCUGUGUUAAUGUAGUGGUGGUCUGUGUUAAUGUAGUGUGGAUGUGUGUUGGUGUAGUGGUGGUCUGUGUUAACGUAGUGGUGGUCUCUGUUAGUGUAGUGGAUGUGUGCUAAUGUAGUGGUGGUCUGUGUUAAUGUAGUGUUGGUCUCUGUUAGUGUAGUGGUGGUCUGUGUUAAUGUAGUGGUGGUCUGUGUUAUGGUAGUGGUGGUCUGUGUUAGUGUAGUAGUGGUCUGUGUUAAUGUAGUGGUGGUCUGUGUUAGUGUAGUGGUGGUCUGUGUUAAUGUAGUGGUGGUCUGUGUUAAUGUAGUGGUGGUCUGUGUUAGUGUAGUGGUGGUCUGUGUUAAUGUAGUGGUGGUCUGUGUUAGUGUAGUGGUGGUCUGUGUUAGUGUAGUGGUGGUCUGUGUUAAUGUAGUGGUGGUCUGUGUUAAUGUAGUGGUGGUCUGUGUUAAUGUAGUGGUGGUCUAUGUUAGUGUAGUGGUGGUCUGUGUUAGUGUAGUGGUGGUCUGUGUUAGUGUAGUGGUGGUCUGUGUUAAUGUAGUGGUGGUCUGUGUUAGUGUAGUGUUGGUCUGUGUUAGUGUAGUGGUGGUCUGUGUUAGUGUAGUGUUGGUCUGUGUUAGUGUAGUGGUGGUCUGUGUUAAUGUAGUGGUGGUCUGUGUUAGUGUAGUGGUGGUCUGUGUUAAUGUAGUGGUGGUCUGUGUUAGUGUAGUGGUGGUCUGUGUUAGUGUAGUGGUGGUCUGUGUUAAUGUAGUGGUGGUCUGUGUUAGUGUAGUGUUGGUCUGUGUUAGUGUAGUGGUGGUCUGUGUUAGUGUAGUGUUGGUCUGUGUUAGUGUAGUGGUGGUCUGUGUUAAUGUAGUGGUGGUCUGUGUUAGUGUAGUGGUGGUCUGUGUUAAUGUAGUGGUAGGUCCCUUCCUGUUUGGUUCCGUCUAGUUCUGUUUGGUUCCUAGUGAAUACACCCCUUGUCAUAGGAACAGGCUCUAAGUCAUACUAAUUGGAGGGAGGAUGAUGAAGUUUCCUUUAGACAUUAAC
rnacentral:lncRNA from 1 species